UCACAAUCAUACAGCGGUCGACUGCAUUGAUCACAACCAAACACAAUAUCAGAUUAUCAUAAUCAUAUCUGCUCUGAUGAAUGGACUUCUGAUCAUUUUGCUGAUCUUUUCUGUUGCUGGAAAAACAGCUUGGUUGGAAAAACACAUUCAUAAUGAUGAUCUGCAGACAAAAGUUACAUAUCGGCUUCAAGAUCCAAACCAAUUGUAGGCACAAUGAGUUCAUGAAGGUGGAAAAUAUUCAGCAAGCAAACAACAGCUGUGUGACUACAUAACAUGUUAUUAAAAUAUUGUGUUUAAGUCAAGAACAUAUUUUUAUAUGGUGUACAUUAUUGAGUAUUUGG